GACGGAAGGUGCAAGCGUUGCUCGGAAUCACUGGGCGUAAAGGGUGCGUAGGCGGCCGUGCAAGUCUGGCGUGAAAGCCCCGGGCUCAGCCCGGGAAGUGCGCUCGAAACUGCGCGGCUCGAGUGCCGGAGGGGAGAGUGGAAUUCCUGGUGUAGCGGUGAAAUGCGCAGAUAUCAGGAGGAACACCGGUGGCGAAGGCGGGUCUCUGGGCCGAUACUGACACUGAGGAGCGAAAGCGUGGGGAGCGAACAGG
rnacentral:rRNA from 1 species